AUUCAUGCAAUUAAAUCUAUAAACGUCUAUAAAUACCUUCGAUAAAUGUGCAAACAUCGAUGUUUGCACAUUUAUCGAAGGUAUUUAUAGAUGUUUAUAGAUUUAAUUGCAUGAAU